GUGCCAGCCGCCGCGGUAAGACGAAGGGGGCUAGCGUUGUUCGGAAUUACUGGGCGUAAAGCGAGUGUAGGCGGUUGCCCAAGUCAGGUGUGAAAGCCUUGAGCUCAACUCAAGAAAUGCACUUGGUACUGGGUGGCUAGAGGACCGGAGAGGAUAGUGGAAUUCCCAGUGUAGUGGUGAAAUACGUAGAGAUUGGGAAGAACACCAGUGGCGAAGGCGGCUAUCUGGACGGUUACUGACGCUAAGACUCGAAAGCGUGGGGAGCAAACAGGAUUAGAUACCCUAGUAGUCC
rnacentral:rRNA from 1 species